GGGCGCGUCCCCUCUGCACUGGGCCGGCUGCUCCUCCCUCUGCUCUCUGGCCUUCGGGCUUCCUGGUUCCUGGCCUGCCAUGCCAGCUGGUGCAGCUCCACUUCCUUCACCACACAGGAGCCACUUCGUAAUACACACACACCUGUUGGCCUUGGACCCUGGCACAGCCCUGACUCAGGUCCACCUCCCCCGACAGCCAUGCAAACUUCCUGGUACACCUGUGCCUCAUGGUGCACACCUUCCCUCACGGUGGCUGGCCCUGCAUCUUCCAGGGUUUGUUUCUUUGUUUGUUUUUAUGAGACAGGAUCUCACUAUGUAGCUCAGGCUGACCUUGAACUCACAGUGAUCCUCCUGCCUCAGCUUCCUGAGUGAGGCUACGGGCCUGGGCCACCUCACUCGGCUUCCAGGGCACACUUUUGUGUUGCUUUUUCCUUUUUCACUCGGCCCAAGCUUGUUGUGCAGAGCCAGUUUCUCCCUCACUCCUCACUUUUACUUUCUCUAGUAAAUGUGGCCACGGCAUUUUCAGUUCCUUGUUCGAGAUGAGAAGAGCCUGGACUCUAACUACAGAGGGAGAGGCGAGCGGCCCAGAACCCGGCAGCAUACAGCUGGCGAGCCACUUUUAGAAGCCUACCCGGACAGAAAAGAUCUAGAAGCCACCUCUAGAAGGAGUCUCCAGAAUCCAAGAACCUGUACCCUGAACUGGAAGUGAGCAGCACCAGUGCUCCUAAGCAGCCUCACACAGAGUUGAACUGGAUCACCAAGGUCAUAGACGACUGGGCGACUGCCACCGGGUCUGUGGGUAAAAUAGGUCACAGCCUCCGGGGGGAUCACCGUUAACCGCGGCCCCCCACCAGGGCAUGUACCUAUAGUCCCAGCUACUCGGGAGGCCGAGCCAGGAGGACUGCAAGUUCGAGGCCAGCCUGGGCAACUUAGUGAGACACUCCCCCUAUCUCAAAG
ensembl:lncRNA